rnacentral:rRNA from 1 species
CUACGGGCGGCAGCAGUAAGGAAUAUUGGGCAAUGGACGCAAGUCUGACCCAGCCAUGCCGCGUGCAGGAUGACAGCCCUACGGGUUGUAAACUGCUUUUAUACGGGAAAAAACCCCUGCACGAGUUGCGGGGUUGAUGGUACCGUAAGAAUAAGCAUCGGCUAACUCCGUGCGCAGCAGCCGCGGUAAUACGGAGGAUGCAAGCGUUAUCCGGAUUCAUUGGGUUUAAAGGGUGCGUAGGCGGAAUGAUAAGUCAGUGGUGAAAUCCUACAGCUUAACUGUAGAACUGCCAUUGAUACUGUUGUUCUUGAGUACAUUUGAAGUGGGCGGAAUGUGUCAUGUAGCGGUGAAAUGCAUAGAGAUGACACAGAACACCGAUCGCGAAGGCAGCUCACUAAACUGUAACUGACGCUGAGGCACGAAAGCGUGGGGAUCAAACAGGAUUAGAUACCCCUGUAGUC